UGACUGGACAACAUGAGGCGACACCAGUUCUCUCUCCCAUUGUGUAUCCGGUUUCUGCAGUAGCCAAUCAGUGUCUCCUCCGUUCCCGGUUAUAAACUCCGCACGGACCCAUUGGAACUCAGUCUUCCCAGACUCCGUCGAUCAUGGUGAUAGUUUCCCAGAUCCUCCUCUUUUUGCUCUCGGGGCCCCUGGCCCUGACCCAGACCCGAGCGGGCUCCCACUCCCUGAGGUAUUUCGACACCGUUGUGUCCCGGCCCGGCCGCGGGGAGCCCCGGUACAUCGCCGUCGGCUACGUGGACGACACGGAGUUCGUGCGGUUCGACAGCGACGCCGUGAACCCGAGGGCGGAGCCGCGGGCGCCGUGGAUGGAGCAGGAGGGGCCGGAGUAUUGGGACCGGGAGACACGGAGAGCCAAGGGCACCGCACAGGCUUUCCGAGUGAGCCUGCGGAACGUGCGCGGCUACUACAACCAGAGCGACGCCGGGUCUCACACAUUCCAGAGGAUAUAUGGCUGUGAAGUGGGUCCUGACGGGCUCUUCCUCCGCGGGUACGCUCAGUACGCCUACGACGGCUCCGACUACAUCACCCUGAGCCAGGACAUGCGCUCCUGGACCGCGGCGGACACGACCGCUCAGAUCACCCAGCGCAAGUGGGAGGCUGACAAGUAUGCAGAUCAGGUCAAGGCCUACUUGGAGGGUGCCUGUGUGGAGGGGCUCCGCAGAUACCUGGAGAACGGGAAGGAGUCUCUGCAGCGUGCAGAUCCCCCAAAGGCACAUGUGACCAACCACCCCAUCUCUGACCAUGAGGUCAUGCUGAGAUGCUGGGCCCUGGGCUUCUACCCAGCUGAGAUCACACUGACCUGGCAGCGGGACGGGGAGGACCAGACCCAGGACACAGAGCUUGUGGAGACUAGGCCUGCGGGGGAUGGGACCUUCCAGAAGUGGGUGGCCAUAGUGGUGCUCUCUGGAGAGAAGCAGAGAUACACGUGUCGUGUGCAGCAUGAGGGGCUGCCUAAGCCCCUCACCUUGAGAUGGGAGCCACCCCCUCAGUCCACCAUCCCCGUCAUGGGAAUAGUUGCUGGCCUGGUGCUCUUUGGAGCCCUGGCUUUUGGAGCUGUGGUGGCUGCAGUUGUGAUCUUAAGGAAGAGGAGCUCAGGUAGAGAUGGGGUGGGGUCUGAGUUUUCUUAUUACACGUGAAAAUUUCAAUCCCCAGCUAGGAGUCUGCUCAUCUUCUGCCUUGUUAUUAGGAAAUAUCAUCCACACACACAUGCUUACCCAGUCUGGGGCCCUCUGUAAACACGUAAAUCACAUGUGUAGAUGAAGGUAAAUUUUCACCUUAGAUGUUUCUGGUGAUGGGGACCUGAUGCCCAUAGUCACAGAUUAGAGGGGAAAACCCCUGCUGAGGACAGACCUCUAGGAGGGUGGGUGGUCCAGUCCCCACAUAUCUCCUUUUAAUUCCUUGUCCUGUCCUGAGUCUGAAAUCACAGUUCUGGAAACUUGCCUGGGGUCCAUGAUUACUGGGUUCCUCUAGGACCUCAUGGUCCUGGCUCUUCCCUGGUCUCUCACAGGAUGUGUUCUUCCCACAGAUGGACAGGGAAGGAGCUCCACGCAGGCUGCAAGUAAGUGAAGGAUGUGGGCUGAUCCUGAGACCCUUGGAAGAGUGUAGGCAGGAUCCUGUGGGAGAGCCCCCCACCUCAAAUUUCCUCCUUUAGUCUCAUGUCCUCCUGUGGGCUCUGACCAGAUAAAUGUUUUUGUUCUUCUCGAGAUGGCGACAGUGCCCAGGGAUCUGAUAUGUCUCUCAUGACUUCUAAAGCUUAAGACCUCUGCCUUGUGUGGGACGGACUGACCCAUGCAAGAUUUGUUCACACUCGCUUUGUGAUUCAGGACUUCUCUUACUGCUACUGUUGUUUGAAUGUACCUGUGUUCCUGUCAGCAUAAUGUGAGGAUGUGGUGGGACUAACCCACCCCUGCCCACCUGGACACCCUCCCCACACUGACCUGUGUCCUUUCCCCUAGAUCUACAUUUCCUGUUCCAGUAGAGACAGGGCCAGAAUGUCUCCAUCCCAGUCAUAACUUCUCUUGCUCUGAGCUGCAACUUCUCACUUACCUAUUGAAAAUGAUAACCUGGAAUGAUCUUUUUUGUCCAAUUCUUGCCAUGAGGUAGGGUUGCUGGGUUAAUUAAGGAGAGGAUGAAACUUAGAAUCUCAGAGAGGAAAUAAAUGGAGACCUGAGAACUAUCCAGAAUCCUUUGUUUGCUUUGCUGAGCCUGUCACAGGCAGGGAUGGAAGAAAGCUGUGGAGGAGCUAAGCGUGAAUGGGGCCUGUUUUCAGGACAGCGUGGGUUUUGACAUAGUCACUCCUUGGUUGGGUCAUCUUCACUGCUGCAUUGUUCUUGACCCCUCAAAAGGACCUGUGAUCACAGGGACUCAGGCAUUGCCCAGGUCUUGUCCUGUCUUCACAGCAUGGACGAUGUUACCAAUGCAUUAUAUCCUCCAACACAUGUGUUGUAAAUUCUAACCUCUAUGUCUGUUGGUUAUAAUCCCAUUUGGGAAUGAGUUGCAUUUGUUACGUUAAUGAGGCAGGAUUAGUGUUGGGUAUAUUUUGAGUUAAUCUCUUCCAAGCCAUAAAAAAGAUUAAAGAAGCAAGGGAGAGAAGUAGAGAUGGCAGAAGAGAGAUGCCAAGCACGUGAAGAUCACCCAGGAGUAGAAGCUCAAAGAGAAAAGGACUUCCUCCAGCACCCACAGAGAGAGAAAGCCUUCCCUUAGAGCUGGCACCCUGAAUUUAGACUUCCAGCCGUCUAAACUGAGAAAAUAAAUUUCUCUUUGUUAAAGCCAUCCACUUGUGGUUUUUCUUUUAUAGCAGGACUAGAUAACUAAGACAGGCAGUGAGGGCUUCGUGUGCUGGGUUAGCCUGAGCUUAGGCCUGGCCUGACCCUCAGACCCCAAGGUUUGUGUUUUCAUUUUUUGUGUCUUUGUUUUUGUAGAGGAUAUAUCUGCUCUUGUUUUGUGCACGACUUCUGGUCUCACUUUUCUCUGGGUGUCCCCAUCUGACAGCAGCGGAAAAAAGUUAUUUUUCCUUUCAAUGUCCCCACAAGGCUAAGGGCAUCCCCUGCACACAGGAGUCUCUGUGGUGUGGAGAAAUGAACUCUCAGACUUGUUCCGGUCUUUUCCUCAUGGGGUUGUUUCCUGGAUUAUUAUUUCCACCUUUUUCCCCAAUAUUUUUAAGGAAUAAAAUUCUGUAAUUAGAGAAUCCAACAGUUUUCUUGUUUUAAAUUCCUGUUAUGUUUCCGUCUUCCACUUGCCUACCCUCUCUCCUUGCCCUUAGCUCUAUAAUCCUAGUGCUGACCAGUCCAACCUCAUGGAUUCAUAAAGCAGAAUCUAAUUUAAGUUCACCAUUGCUUGUAAAAUAGCGUCCAUAACCCCUAGGAUCAUUCUUGUCUGGUCUGCAGAGGGAAAUGAGACUGUGCUGGAGUGGACAGGAGGGAGGAGAGGGAGACAGGGAGCAGAGAGCAGCAUAUACAGGAAAGGAGAGUCAGCGUUAGUCAGUGUGAGUGGACAUGCUGCAGCUGCCCCAAAACAGAUAAAAGGAGAUAAAAGGAAAGGGAAGCAAGCAGAGAGUCGAGAACCUCAUACCACCAAGAAAGCAGCACCGGGAGCAGAGCACGUCCUUUGGACCUGAAGUUCCUGUGCUGAGAUGCUACCAAACCAAGGGAAGAGUGAUGACAAAGACCUUCCUUCAGAGCAGACACAGAGAGAAAGCGUUCCCCUGGAGCCGGUGCCCUGAAUUCAGACUUCUAGCCUAGUGGAUGGUGAGAGAAUAAACUUCUCUUUGUUAAAGCCAUCCACUUGUGGAAUUUCUGUUAUACCAGCACUAGAUGACCGAGGCAGACUGCUUUUAAAAGGAUCACCCUGGCUUCUGUGCUCAGAAUAGAAUCAAGAGCUGGAGGAUGAACAAGGCAGUAGGAACACACUAGGAUAUCCAUGCAGUUUUUCAGCUAGAGAUGUUGGUGGUUUUGUCAGUGAGCAGUGAAAAUAGUGGGAAGUGAUUGGAUUCUUGAUAUAUUUUGAAAUGGAACUUUGGAAGAUUUGCUAGUGGACUAUAAUUGGGGUAUGAAAGAAAAAGUGGAUUCAAGGAGGACACGAAAUAUUUUGGACCGUGCAAAAAGAAAAAUGGAGCUGCCGUCAGCAGAGGUGGAAAAGACUCUGGGAGGAGCUUACUUGAGGAGGGGGCAUCACUGGCAUUAGGUUUAGGAAAUGUUUCACUUGAGAUGUCUGUUAGAAAUGCAAGUGAGGUUGUCUGAUUGGUAGUUGGAUAUAUGAGUGAUAUUUAGGAGAAAUGUCUGGGCUGAAGAAAGAUUUGGGGGGUAUUAAGGAUUGAGUUGUAUCCCCCCAGGAAAUGUGUGUCAACUUGGCUAGUCCAUGAGUCCCAGUAUUGUGUGAUUGUCCACCAUUUUGUCAUCUAAUGUAAUUUUCCUAUGUGUUGUAAAUCCUAACUUCUACGAUGUUAAUAAAGCAGGAUUAGAGGCA